rnacentral:lncRNA from 1 species
GAGGGCUGCUUGUUUAUCUUGACAAUGUCUUUUAUCUCAGCCGCUGACAAUGGAGCCGGCUCUGCCUCCCUGCCCUCAGCUCCUCAUCAAAGGUCAGUGCACUCCGCGUUCCCAGAACCGCGCUCGCUCCAGGCAGCAUUAGAUAACAUUUCUCUUUCAUUGCAUUUUUAGGUCAAGCCAGUUUUAUCCCUUGGGAGCAGAUGACCAAAGGCAGUGAGGCACAGCCAUGGACAGUCUCUUCCCUGCUGCUGCCGUUGUAUUUACUCCUCCCGAGCAGCCUCUUCUCACCUCCACAUCCUGCUUUCCUCCACAAGCUGGACUGGGAGACAGCUAGCACAGAAUGCUGAGCUGACGGACCAUCCCUUCAGCAAGGUUGUUUUUUAAGCAUUUGCAGGAUGCACAGAAUUGUAGAGGGCGAAAGUCAGCCGAGCUGUGGGCGCUGACCUGGGAGAGCUCAGAGGACAAGUGCCUGUGGGGACAAAGCCAGACACACACGUAACAGCAGCUUGAGGCACGGAAAGGGAGCCCCCAGCUCCCCAGGGGACGAUGCAGGAACAGGGUGGGAGGGUGGCGGGCCCAGAGGGGGAGGGCACUCUCCCAGGCCACACUUUCUAAAGCCCUGUGUGUUCCAGAAAGCAAUGUGUUGGCACAUGGUGGGAGGGAGGAAGAGGGGAUCAGCCAGGCCAUGAGCGCAGCACAGGCAGCCGAGUGGGCUCAGGCUGCAGCCACCGAGAGUCCCUCCGUACACUGGGGCAGGGGUCGGGAUGGAGCCUGAGAGUCGGGUGAAGGCAGUGCCCUCUCCUUCCAGCCAGUGCCCUGGGCUGGGCUCCAGGUGGACAGAAAGCAGGCACAGAGGCCAGCUGAACUGCUUAGCUGAACUGGGAAGGGGGCUCCUUCCCAUCAAGGGUAGCCCCCACCUCAGAAGAAAGACCAGGCCAGGCCAGUGGCCAAGAAGAACCCUGAGCCAGUCCUGGGCCUCGCCAGCUCUGCAGCUUGCAACCAGCUGUCUGAACUGUCUGUGCCCUGACCCAGGUCACCUGUGUGCAGGAGGCUGGCCCAGUGGUGUGCCCAGACGCAGAGUCCAGCCUGUGGCAGAGUCAGCCCACACUCAACACCAGCCCAUGAGGCCUGCACAUGGGCACAGGGAGACAAGGCUGUCCCCAGGGAGUGUGAGAUUUUUGUCCUUAGUCCAAGUCUGGCUGCUGUAAAAAACUAGGACCAGGGGUGGCGAAGCCAAGAACAACCUGAGAAGGCCCGGGGUGACCUGCUCUCACUCUGGACCGGGACGUCCACAGAAAUGGUGUGGUGUCCAGGACAGGACGGGGAGCCCAGGCCCAGGGCCUCCUCACAGUCUGCCAGGACAGAACCCGACAUCCUCCAGGCCUCAGAAACACUGCUCUCCGAGAAGCUGCAGCGUGGCAGGUCCUCAGGGCCAGCGGCACCAUGCUGACGUGGCCUGAGAGGGUGGCCACAUCAGGCCCUGGCUGGGAGGGUCCGUCCACGCAGGCUGUCACAACCCACAAUGCCUGCCAUAUCUCCCACUGGAAUGCUGUUACCACUGACCUGCCUGGCCAGGAGGCCCAGGUGCUGAGACCCACAGGGGACGCUUGCCUGUGGUGAGUGCCCAAGAGGGGAAUAGCCAGGACGUUCCAGCCAGCGUCGGGUGGUGGCUCCCCUGGGCCUCAAGGGCACGUCCUGCUGACAGGUUUCUGUAGAGGAACGAGAUUCCCGCGAGGGGAGCUUCACGGCAGCGAGCACAGAGAGCAAGGGACCAGGACGGGAUGGACCUGGCCCACCUCAGUGCUUUAGGGAGGAGAAAGGCCGAAGGACCCCCAAUGGCGAUCUCACCUCGUUGGGAAGGAGCUUGGAGAAGAGCAGGCGACUGCUUCUCCUCCGCCUGCCCCGUGGCCUGUGCCAGCCACACUCAGGAGCCUGCCUUACACGGUGCUGGGGCCACCGUGGACACUGGGUGCAUGAGUCUGCGCCUGGUUUUGCACAGGACCUCACUUAGAACACCUCCUUCAGUCCUGGUAAGGUGGCGUUACCCUUGGACCCACUGUGUGGCAAGAGGAGAGGCCCACAGUGGCCCAGUCGCUGGCCCAAGCCCGUGUUUGCCGCAGUGAGAGGGCUGACUCGUGUCCAGAGGCCCUGGCCAGGCUUGGGGCUCUCGCCACACCUCACCCUGGCCACAGGCAGGGCACUUCCACACCUUGGCUCAGUGGCUUGUUGAGCACAGGACAUGAGCACCAAUAGCCCUGCCCCAGGCUCCUUCUCUUUUGACCCAAGGGCACCCUGGAGCAGAGAGCACCCUGGGAUGACUUCCCCGGGUCCCCUGCACUGCCCUUGGUCUCGUGGGCGUCUGCCCGACUCCAGCAGCUCUGGCAGGCUCUGGAGAGGUUUCCUGUCACUCCCAAUAGCUGGAGCACCUGCCAAGAGGCCAACCUCCCCCUAAGCCUCCUCCUCGGCUCUGCCUCCAGGCCACCCCAGAGGCCCCUGUUCCUCUCCUGUGAUUGCUGGCACUCCGGGGCAGGAUUCGAGGCCUCCCACGUGCCUCUUCUCCUUUUUCUCCCAGCUGAAAACCCGAAGGCCCUCCUCUCUCUUCCAAGAGGUGGUCAGAAUCCGUAGCCGCCCAGCCAGCCCCGCGUGCCAAGCUGACGCGGUGACCAGGUCUGCACCCGGUCCACGCUGUGCCUGGGCGAGGUCGUGGGCCCAGGGGGCCGUGGGUCACUGCUCAGAGGGCACCAGGAUCCUGCACCACCCUGCUGUGGAGGUUGCCUGCUGGUUGCAGGAGGUCUGAGCUGCUGACCUGCACCCCAGAGAGCCCGGCCUCGGUUCUCACAGCCCCUUCCCUGCAACCCGCAGGCUGGGGAGCCGCGUGCCCUCAGGGAGGUCCCCCAAGCCCCAGCCUGUGCCUCCAUCCACGGGGGUGGGAGGAUAAAGGGGCACGUGCCUCUGUGCACUGCGAGUGUGAGCACGCCGUACGGAGGUCGCAGCCGUGCCGCUGUCACCUCUCCAGGGAAGCCCGCUGCUCCCCUUGACCCUCGACUUGCGCUCAGGUUUUAACUCUGCCUUCUGUUAGGCCUUAAUUUGAAAAGCGUGUGUCAUUGAUCUUUAUUGAAAUACCAUAUUUCUUGGUUCCUCAGCCCCUGUCCCACCUUGCAACUCGGGUACUGGUUCUCCCAGAAGAGCCACUAAGGAGUCUGGGCCCAUCUUUCAGCUAGUGGCACUUUUGAAAUGGCUCACAGCAGAACCAUGAGAGGUUCCAUGACAGAUGUGCUGCUGAGGCCGGUGUCCUCAGACUCGGCCUCACAGGGAACUGGGUGGAGGUCAUCUGUGAAGGAGGCUGGUGUCAGCACCCCACAAGAGAACCUGCGUACAUGGGCAUUGGGAGGUGACAGAGCCCUGGGUGAUCUCAGGAGCAGUGGGAGCUGAGCCUGCUCCUACCUGGGCCGGCGUGGCGACCUCGGGCCCCACACUGCCCUCCAGUACAAGCUGCGCAAAUCCUGCCAUUGCAUCCCCCUCCCCAAGGACAGGAGGGCAUUGCCAUCCAAGGUGCAGAGAAUCCUUCGGUGCAAGCUUCUGGACGGAUCCUUGCCAAUGUCCGUCUUGCCCACAUUCCUUUGGGUCUCACUGUCAAGAGGGCAGGCCUGUGGAUGGUGCCCUUACUGCUGCUUGACCUCAGUCAGCUGCAGGUGGCACAGCAAGCAGCUCAGGAUGCCGGGGAGGGAUCACUGCCAAGGGAAGACCUCAGAGAGGCACAGGACAGGGAGUAUGGCGGAAACUGUGGGUUGUGUUAGAGGGGACAUUUAAGGACCCUGGUUUCACAAACUUGAGUGGACUGUGGCAGCUUGAAUGGACUCUCCACCCGACUUGGCACCGGCCACAUGAAGUCAUUCAUUUAAAAGUGGGUUCUGGGCAUUGUGACCCUAGACAAAGGCCUCUGCCUACCUCUCAAAACCCAGGGAAGCCCUGUGGUCCCUCCCCUUGACGGACAGGCCAGGCGGGUGUGGAACAAAGGGCAGGGAGCGUUUUAUCCCCUGUGGGCUCUCUCUCGCCCUGGCCCUGCCCAGGGACCCCAGCUGCGGAGCACAUGCUCCCGCCCUGUGGUUCAUGCUGGUGGGCUCACCCGGCGGCUCGCCUGCAUGCACCAGCUGUUGGAGCAGCCAGGAGACAAAGCACCAGCAGGCUCACUAAAGCCGAAGCCCAAAGCCUGGGCCCUGUCCCAGCGACUGUCACAAGAGCGUCAGCUCUGCCAGACAGACGGCUGCAGCUGAGUCCACGGGCAGCGGACAGCAGUGUGGUCCUGCCCGAGCGGGGGCUGUGCCAGCCUGCAGGCCUUGUGCCCCACCUGCGUCCGCAUCCUCAUCCCAUGCAUGUGGGGGCACCCCAGGCCUCCAGGGGCAGCCACUCUUGAUAAGCAUUGGUCCCUUCCGCCUCCAGGAACCGGGGCCUGCUCAAUGCAACCUGGAUGUUCCACACACAGGCCGCCAUUCUGCUGUGUCUUGGAGCAUCGGGAAACAGCCAGGGAGGACACAGGGGUGCUGGGCAGAGAGGGAGCAGGGCUGAGGGGGAGCCGCCGUCCCCAGGGAGCCUCUCCUGAGUCAGGGAAUGAGGACAGGCUCCCUCGGAAGCUCACGGUUGAACACUGCAUUCAGAUGUUGUUUGUCACAUGAGUAGAAUACAGUUCAGUAACUUCAAAAAACUGAGGCGUGUAAACCAUGGAACACUCCAAACCAGAGUGUGCCAGGUCCCGCGGCCCACCCCUGCCAGGAGCUGCAGGAGAAGGCUCCCUCCUGCCUGGGGCCCCUGGGCCUGCGGCUCCAAUCCUCAGCCCCUAGAAGAGCUUUCUUACCUCCCUGGACUGAAGCCCUGUCACCCACUUUGGCACCAUGGAAUUCAGCACUUUUCCUCAAACGCUACAGAGAAAUCCCACUGCAGGCCAGAAAGCCCCUGCCCCUCGCCGUGAGAGCCACACUGUGCAACCGCUUCCAGCCACCGGUCGCUGUUAUCUGAGCACACAAAGCAGAGCCCCCUGUCCAGACGGCUUCCCAUGCGUCUCUUGGCCAGGAGCCCGGCUGUGCACAUGGACAGUUCGCACUCAGCUAGGAAGAGACGGGAAUUAAUUUGACUGGACUUGGCUGGUCCCCAAGCAGGCUUGCCUGGGAAGCAGCCUGGGACAGGCCAUUGCCCCUCUUUUGAGGGGCUCCAGCAGAAAAGCUGCAGUUUCACCCGGAGCGUUCCUCCCUCCCGGGGUCCCUCGUGCUGAGCCCAGUAGGACCCAGGGUUGCUGCGCAGGGAGAGAGCAGCAGGGCUGAGGGGGAGCCUGGGAGUGCACCUUCUCAGAUCCCGUCAGGAGGUCCCCAGUAAGAGGUCACAAUGCAGGGACACCAGGUGCAGGUGCUGAGAGCCGCCCUGCGCCCAGGCUAAGGCCCCACAGUCCCUACAAUGGGGUGGGGGUGGGGCAGGCCUUUGUACCAGGGCACAGAGGAAAACGCUCAGGUACACCCAGGUGGCAGGCUGGAAAUUGGGACUCAGCCCUGGGGUCUGGGUCUGCGCUCAGAGGGUCACCCUGUAACCUCACAGUCCCACAGCAGCUCCCCCAGGCCCUGCCCGCCGGCUCCCUGCAGCUUCCCAAGGUCUGCACCACUGCAGCCUGAAGCCUCCGCGGGGCUCUCUCUGGGCAGCUAUUCAUGCUCAGCACCCCACAGUGAGGCCCGUAGCUGAGCACUUCCCUGCACACCAAUUAAAGCCAAAUUGGAUGCUCCUUAGCAUAUGAAUCAAGGCGCCUGGGAACAUCCCUGCGGCUUCCAGCUUGGCCUCCCUCUCCACCCAGCCCCCUGCAGCGCAGCUGCCUGUGAUGCCCCUUCCCACAUCCCACCUGCGACUCUGGACUCUGUCCCCUUCCUGUGGCCUACUGGGUCCUGGGUCAGUGCUCCAGGGGGAUUUCAAACCCUCACAACCCCAAGAUGCCUGGGAUGCAUAUCAGUGGGGAGAUGGAAUGUCAAUGGAAUAGCAAGCUGGCACCCUACAAUUCUGAGCUAAAAAGGGUGCUGAAAGGGAUGCUAAGGUCUAGCAGGCCUCCUUCUCCUACUGAGAGCAGCACCCCUCGGUGUCCGGCCUCCUCUAAAGGCCCCUGCUGACCUUCCAUCCCAAGGGGGACUCUUACUUUUUGGUGCUGCCUGUGACUUCAGAUGCUGCAGGUCGUUGUGAAUAAAUAAUUGGGUGUGUUUUGAAAUGAAGCAGGAAAGUCCCUCUGAGGGGGCAGAUGGCAGGACACGGUGGCAGGAAGCCUGUCCUUUGAGGAUCGAUGUAUUCGAUUUAGCCAUCGAAGAGGUCAGGCCUCUACCACAGCCUUUACUCCCUGUGCGGAGCUCAGAGGGCGGCUGCUCAGGACAGAGGCUUUCCUGGUGCUGCCCCUGCCUGCUGGGCGGUGGCUAAUCUCUGAGUGCUCUGCUCAUCUGUAGACCUCAGCCUUUGUGAGGACCUGGCCCAGAGUCCAGGCUGAGCCCUGGGUCAGUCCAGGCUAGCUUCCCUGCCCGCAUGGGCUCGGUAACAGCCAGAACCUGAGCUGCAGCCCUCCCAGUGUGGUGGUGGACCCUCUGGGGUAGAAACCGAGAAACGUUCACUGCUAGGUUCCUGGUGACCCUGGAUACCUCCCCGCUGUAGGCAGAGCACAAAGCAGCCCCUGGGGAUUCCUGCAGACGUGGUCAGCCCCUCUUCUUCAGGCAGUGGGGCCAGCAGACAUGGUGGUGGAGGGUCCAGGCCCCAGUCUCCUCUCCAGAAGGGACAAAGAGGAAAACAGGGGCCUGAGCUGCCCGUCCCCCGCUCCACCCAGCACUGGUGUCUGAUGUCUGUGAACACCACAGCACUGCCAGCUGUCAGCUGGGCUCUGGCAGGAUGCGUCAGGCCGCGGGCUGGCACCAUCCUGCUCCACGCAGGCUGCAGCACAAGGAGGCAGCCAAACCCACCAUCUUUGUUCCAGAGACAGGUCACCCCCACAGGAAGCCAGCGCGGCCAUCUCCAGCCACCAGAGGUGUGGGCAAAGCUAACAUGCCAUCAUCAAGGAGAGGUGACAUUCUACAAGAACCGAGUUUCACCCAGCAAGAGAGAAGUGGGCUCAACCUGUCGGACCCUCUCCCGGAGGCCCCUGAGUGCAGCUAUGUCCACCCCCACACUCCUCUCCCAAGGUCACUAAGGAAGGCUCCUCUGAGGAACAGCUGGCUGAGAGCCUCUGCUUACCCAGGUCAAGAAGUGGGUGUGAGGAACAGGUCUGCCGCCAGCCCUAGACAGCACAGACUGCAUGGGAAGGUCAGUGGCCACUGCCUCCCCGUCCCCAGCCCCUCGUUGCUGAGCAGGAGACUGUGGGUUCGAGUGACGGCACACAGCGUGAGCUGGUGCGUGGUCUGAGUCUUACGUGGAAGUCCUCUUUCUCAGGGCUGUGGUCGCAUGAGGGCCUUGGGAGGUGACCAGGUCCUGAGCCGUGAGGAUACGGUUGUGUCCGUGUAAGAAGGGAUGAUCUUUCUCUCAGCCAGGCAAGGCCACAGGCAGAGCCGUCCCGACAGCCUGCGCCUCAGCCCUGAGGGGCGUGUGUCUGGGGCUGACGAGGUGCCGGGCCGGCACUGUUCAGAGCCAGUGGACCCAAACAGCCGGCAAGACAAAUGGCAGUGAGAGGAGGGCCCUGCUCUGGUCCCGCUCAGGAGCACGGAGCCAGGAGGACAGCGCCUCGGUCACCCCCAGGCUCCCCUGCGAGGCUCAGCACGCGGCCCUCCUGUUGGGAUGCAGUUCUGCUCAGGCCCCUCCAGGAAAUGCCAGAGAAGAAAGAUGGCUCUCAGUGAGCUCAGGGGGCCAAGGAGACAGGCAGGGACCCGUGAGACGAGGGGGGGAGAAGGUGGGGACAGGGGAGCAGCCGGCCCAGGGAGGAAGCCCUGUGGUCCGGGGGCAGAAAUCGGCAAUGCUGGGGUUUAGGGACAGUGCCAAGAGGCCAUGCCCACACCGUUGGCCGAUGACUGCUUCACUGGUUCCAGUAUUGCCCGCCCUGGGCAGCGCUGCCUUUGCAGCUCCCCAGAGGCCACUCCAGGAUGAGGAGGAGGAAGCAGGCAGCUCCCAGUGGGCACCCGGUCAGGGCAGGGUGGGGGCCAUCCAGGAGGGGGAGGGAAACCACGGGCUGGAACCUGGGGUGCCCAUCACCACCCCCAAACAGAGAGAUCCCCAGGAAUAUCUGGGAGACGGCUAGGUCUGCUGCACGCACAGACAGUGCUCCGGUCCUCGGCUUGGUUACCAAGGGAACAGCACGCCAGAAAGGAAGGAGGCUGCUGGCCGUCCCCUGCGCUUUGUGACACUAAGCCAAGGCACAGUGAGCCACAUGUCUGUCCAGGCUCACUCUCCACUGGGCCUCCCAGGGCCACUGAGAAGCCAUGCCAACAGUCCCUUGGCAGUGCUGGGCUCCCGUGACCUCCUCAGGUCCUGGAGCCUGUACCCAAGUGCUCUGGACUGCGGAGUUCAGCACAAACACCACAACCUGGACCACUCCCCGUCCAGCCCCUCCGGCAUUCCCCCAGGUGCCCACCUGUGCUGUGGGGUGGUCAGGAGAAAGCGCUGGUACUUGUCCUCAGCUGAAGCUGCUAGCCCUCGACUAGGCCCAGCUAGCGCCAUGGGCCGAUGACAAACCCGAUUGCAGCCUCUGCAGCCUUGGUGUCACCUCUAGGUGAUGGAGUCACCCACAGAGCCAGCUAAGGGGUGUGGAUUUAGGAAGAGCUGUCCCGGACCUCGGAAGUUACUUGGAACAAAGUUCUUAAUAACUGUUAUGGCAUCAGAUCCGCCAUUUUAGUUCGGGAGCCAUUUUAUCCGGGGACUCCCGGGUCUCCUCAGGAGCCAUUUUAUCCGGGGACUCCCGGGUCUCCUCAGGAGCCAUUUUAUCUAGAGACUCUCGGGUCUCCUCAGGAGCCAUCUUAUCUAGGGACUCCCGGGUCUCCUCAGGAACCAUUCUAUUCAGGGUCUCCUGGGUCUCCUCAGGAGCCAUUUUAUCUGGAUCCUGAGGCAAUGCUGCUUGGCCUCCCGUAAGAACAUGUGCCUGCUCGAGGGUCGUCCCCACCCCAGCCCGUGACACAGCCCUAGCAUGCUUGUGAAAUUCCUCUUGCGGGCUCUGAAGCUGCCUGUGAGUGCCCACAGGCUGCUGCUCUCCUUGGAGGGACAGCCUUGGCCGUUUGUCUCCGUGGAUUCUGGCGUGGCGUGUCCUUGGACUCUGCGAGUGCCCUUUCAACUGCUACACUAGACACCUGGGAAGUGUGGGUUUGAUCAGUGAAAGGCGUAGUGACCUUUGGAAGACAACUUUGGGUGGACGGUGAACGUGGCACCCGUGGGGGUUCUGUGCUGGCUAGGCAGGCCACCCUGCCCUCUGUGUCUGUCCUCCCUCUCUCCAGGCACCCCCUGGGAGGAUGCUGCCUCCCUCGGCUGGAAUCCAACAUGGAGAUGGUUUGCACAGCCAGCAGGGCUCACACGGACCAUUGCAGGCCACUGCCCCCCUCCAGAACAAGGGAGCUUUGUCUCUUGUUUCCUCAGGAGGUCAAGGUCCACCAGAGGCUGGCGUGUGGGUGUUCUGUCUGGGGCAACUUUGCCCUGAAUGCGGCUUCAGUGCACAAUGCUGCCUACACCUCAGGCAAAUGCUCUGUCCUGAGCAGGGACGGGGCAGAAGGGGCUCCUGCAGCUCCCACCAACCAUGCGCCGCCCUUCAGCCAGAGGUCCCUGGCCUCAGCCCUAAGUCCAGUCCCUGAAAAACGAUUUUCUGUGGCAAAGCCAGGUGUCAACUGGACUCAGUGUGCCAGGGUAUGGAACGAGCCGUACUUGGCAGGCUGCUUCCCAGUAUGGCCCACACCAAGCUAAGAGCCCCACCAGAAGCUUCUCCCCAGAAACAAAGAGCACACGGUCCUUGUUGGCCAUUGCUGGAGGGUGUUGAGCAUUGGAACUUACUUUAUUUGGAAAGGGAGAUUUUGUGGCCAGUUUUUGUAGGCAGCUUGAAGGAUUUAUGAUUGACAGCUAGCAAUUACUUGAAGGGACACUGUCACCAAGGUAACUGUGCAGGAAACCAGGGCAGAGGGACUGUCUGCUGAGGCCUGCGUGCGGGGUGGGCUGUGUGGCUUAGCACCUACUCCCUUUGCUUGUUCACCAACCUGAGCCCCCCAGCAGGCAGAUUCUGAGGGGAAAGAAACCAGUUCUCACGGCAAAUGAAGAGCAGCCCCUGCUCCCAGACUGUGCCUUGAGUCAAAUCCUAGCUACACCCCCAGACCGCAGCCUCCUGCCCAGGUCCUGGCCUCCCCAGGCUGCUGUGGCGAAGUGGAGUCCUCCAGGACAGCUGCUGCUGGAAGACCCGCGUGUCCUCGGGGGUCCAGGAGCCAAGUGCUCAGGAGAGCUGGGGAGGCUGACCCCACCUAGAAAACCAAGCGACCCCAGGGCAUGGUGCUGUUAUGCUCGAAUUCGGGACCCCCAAAAGACCACCAGAGACCAAGAUCGAUGUAAGCAGCAAAGAGGUGUUUAUCGCGAGCUAGCUCGGUCCUCCACGCGCACACAGCAACUGGUGACGCUGAGAGGCCCCGAGCCCAGGGUUUGCAGCAGUUUUAUACAUUCUUUGGAGAAGGCAGGGACUUCACAUACAUCAUAGCAUCUCUUAGCAAAUCAUCACACAACAACUCUUAACAUUUAUUAGCACAUUCAUGGCGGGAACAAGUUGGGUAGGAGUGAUUGGUUACUACAAGAGGAGGAUUCCUUUGAACUGAUUGGUUUAGGCCACGAGGGGAGAACGUGCUGAACUACGUGGUUUCCCAACACGUUAUCAACCACCAUAAACUACUGGGGGGUCAUCUGGCAUCCCAGGUAUUUCCCUGUCUCAUGCUGAUUGGUGGCUGCUAGGGGUCCCCACCUAGCCGGACUGAGUGACCCUAGCAGAUCUCUCCUGUUAUUUGUAGAUAAACAACUCAGCAGGGUGGGCGUGUGCCUAGGAGUGCUCUGGGGGUCUUUCCCAGGACCAGGUCACGCCCCUUCCUUGGACAGGCUUGGCUCUGGGGUAGAGGCUGGCCUUUCAGUACUUUGCCCAUCUCAGAAAGAAAAGCAGCGCUUUCCGCCAGCCGGCUGGGUGGGCCUCCCACAGCAUGGACACCCGCCCCCACCCUGCACCCCCACAUGUGCCUGCUUCCCUCUGUCCCACCUCAAAGCCCCCAGGGCACAGGGCCAUCGGCAGCUAGGAAUGGAACUGUCCCUGCCCCUCCCAGCUCUGUCAGUCCACUCUAGGGCUCAGCUGGACCGGCCUCCCAGGAAGGGUGGGUGCUGGGUUGGGUCCUUGCACCGGCUGCCGGCCCCGCCCCAGGACCAUGUGCCAGUGGCUUGUGGACUGUGUGGUGGCUUCAGAAUCACCUCCGGUCAUCUCACUCUCAGGGCUUGGUGCUCUGUCUGGGUCUGGGCUUCAGGCGUCUCUCUCCCUCCUCCUGCCUGGGCGGCGGCGGGAGGGCUGCCCACCGUCCUGAAGGCACAGACCCCAGCUGGGAUCCCACCUAACCCACGGCCCCACGUGUCCCGUCCACUGAGCGCAGCUCCUCCUCCCCGCAGGCCUGCCAUAGGGAUGAGGAUGGGGGGCCACCGGGGCUCCUGACACAGGGCUGAGUGCCAUCCAGGGGACCUGCCCUGGUCCCUGCUCCAGAGCCUGUGAGCGCUCUGCCGGUCGCCUUCGGCUCCUCGCCCCUUGUCUCCAGGGAAGAGCCCGCCUUCCUGAGGGCCGGAGCCAUGCUGGGACGGCUCUUCCUCAGCAGCCGGCCUGGGCUGGACAGUAAGGGUGCACUCAGGGAAGCCCCCCCCUGCUGGCCUCCAGGUCAAGGGAUGCCCGGGAGGCCUCUGUCCCUUUCUUUCUUCCAUGUGUGCACCUCUGAGACCUGGCUUGUCCCUUCUCUGGAUGAGAGUGCAGGGAGGCGAGGCCUCUGUCCAGCCCUCCUGCUGGCUGGCCGCCCAGGGAGGGGAGGAGGUUGACUGCAGCUAGUGGCCUGCUCUGACGUUUCCUUGAAAUCACUGCUUGUGUGUGUGUGUGUGUGUGUGUGUGUGUGGUGUGAGAUGAAAUCACUGCUUGUGUGUGUGUGUGUGUGUGUGUGGUGUGAGAUGCGCAUUUCUCGAUCAAGUGUUAAGCAGAUUCUCUUGGGAGUCAGAAGCAUCACUGUGCUGCUGGACUGGCGUGGACCACGGCCAGGCGGGGUCACACGGGCCAGGCGGGGUCACACGGGCCAGGCGGGGUCACACCGGUCAGCCUGGCGAGCCAGGAGGGCCCACUGGGGUGCCCUGCUCCAGCACCGGCUGAGGGGAAGGUGACACUCCAGCCGCUCCUUCAGUCACUGCUCGGGGGACAGCUCAGAGAGGUGCAGCAGGAGUAAGUGGGAGGAGCAGCAGAUGGGCACUCAGAGAACCAGGAAGAUGUGGAGGGCAGGCUGUCCUGCUGUGUGCGGCCGAAGACCCCGAAGGCAGCCCCUCCCGCUGUCCACAGCCUCCCAGGAACACCCGCCCCCUGUCCCCUUCCCUGCUGAUGGCUCUCAGGCUCCGAGGACCCUCUGCAUUUCCCAGAGACAGAGGCAGCCCAUGACCUUGAACACGGCUCUCUUGGGUGCCCUCCCCAGAGCCAGAGCACGUGAGCCUCUGUCCCCUCCUCCGCACCUGCCAGGCAGAUUGUCCACCUCAGUCGAGGUGCUCUGAGCAGCUGGACCUGACUGUGCCCACUCAUUAAAGGGGCAGCAACGGCCCACGCUGGUCUCCUUUCCCCCUUGAUGACAGCACUGGGCGGACCUGGUAGGAGACGUGAUGGGGUCAGGUAAGCAGCUGGCAGGAGGGGCCAGCCACAGAACUGGCACGUGGCCCGCGGAAGCACUCCUUCCUCCACGGGGCACCGCAGUGGCCAGGGCCGGGGCACCUGCUGCUGGGUCAGGUGGCCCUGCCCACUCACCGUGGGAGACGCUGGGGCUGCCCUGCUCGUGGGUGGACGGUUCAGGGCCUGGCAGUUUUGCUUCCCCGUCACAUCGCACUGUUGAAUAAGGCGCCCGAUACGUGAGCAAGAGGCUUUGGGUCCCUGUCUGCUGUCAUCAAGAGGCGAUGAGGUCACCAGGAACAGCAGGGGCCUUGCAGGGCAGAGGACACGGUCACGUCAGGAGGAGGAGUCUGGUCCUGGCUGCACCUUCCCCUGACACCCCCGCAUCUUGUGCUGGAAAGUGUCUGCCCUGGAGGAAAGGCAGGUGGGGGCAUAACAGGAAGUUGGACUGCUUCCUCUUCCUGGCUGGGCAGCUUCCUGGCUGCCUUGUUCCUGGUCGGUUCACAGCAUGAGCAACCAGACCCUGCAUUAUGGAGAGGAUUCGGGUUGGCUCAACACCCCAGGGAAGCCCUCACUUCUCGGGCAUAGUCUCCAGCCCUGGGGUCUGUCUCUGGGGGUCCUGCCAUUCUCACCUGGACCAGGUCAGCCUGCAGCUCCUCCCCUGAUGGAGGUGACCUGAAGUCUGUGGGCGUGCAGCUCGAGCCCCGGAGACCCCUGCCCAUGAAGACUGACAGACCAAGGGGUCACGUCUGGGCAUCAGGGUUCCCCGGCUCCCGAGAGCCAGCUGCUGUGGCCAAACCCAAGCUCCGUGCACAGGAAUGAAGCUGAGGUCCUCCUGGCCACACUUCCCACAGGGACCCAGAACCUGGCACAGCCCCGAGGGCAACCUAGGGAGGAGCGGGAGCUCUUGUCCCCAGAACUUCGGGGCUACGUGAGCUCACAAUGCAGCUCCUCCCGACCCUGCUGGUGAGGCUCAGGCCAGGAGAGUUUCACCCCAGGGCACAGAUCUCAGCCAGGCCUGGGAUUUUCUGUGGACUUGGCCGCUGCCACCAUCCCACGGGGACGUUCUCUGCAGACUUGGCUUUCAUGGACCACUUAGGCACACAUCAGAUGACUGGGUCAAUAGCAAUGAGAGCUUUAGCUAGGAAACCACUUCCUGUGGUUCUGAAGAUGCCUUUUUGACACCUGCUCGGCAGAGAUGCCCCUGUGGACUCUGCAUCACCACUUGCUGCCACCAUGCUGCCCAGGUGGCUGCCCAGGUGGAAGAGAUUUCUCAGCUCUGAGUCAGUAUCGCCCCAGGUUCCUGCAGCUCCUGGCUCCCAGCCACCCGCUGACAAGGCCAAGGGCCUUGGAUCCCACCAGCUCCAUCAGGGAAGGCGUGGAGAGACUGGGAGGGACUCCACGCGGGCAGCUUCAGGCUGGCCCUGGCUUGGGGAGGCCAGGACUGGAGGCUCCUCCUCUCCUUUCAUCAGGGUUACCUCCCACCUUGCCAGCGGCUCUUGUCUGAGAUCCCCUUCUAGGACUAAUUCACGCUCUGCUCUUGGUAAGGAAACUAACGCUGAGUCAUCCCCAGUGUCAAAACGAGAAACAAGGAGAAGCCCUGUUCAUGCAGCUUACUGUCGCAGCUUGUUUCCCAGCUGCUGUCUGCCUUUGGGACCCUCCAGGCCACCCCCUCAAGUGGACACUCUUGACAUAUUCACCCCUGACCCCAGGGGCAGGGGAGGAGCUACCUGAGUGGCUGUUCUAGAAGCUGACCUCUGUCAACUGAGCAGAAGCACUAAACAGGAACUCAGCAAAGCCACCGCCAGGCCUCAGAGAACCAGGCUCCACCAAGCGGGGUCUACACUCAACAAGUACCGCCUUCCUGAAAGAGGACCAAGGUUUACAGACAGCCCCCUGAACCGCCAGACCACCCGGCCGGCCUGCUCAGCAGGUCAGCAUGGGAGUUGUAAGUGCUCAGCCUGCGGCUGGCCUCAAGGGACAGUGUGAUGGGAUCCUAGGGAACAGGCGUCUUCACGGGGAACCUGGCAGUAAUCAGGGGGAAACAGGCCUGAAGAGAACGUCCCGUUUAGCCAAGAAUGAAAGGAGAACACCAAGAAGGGGCCAUAGAAACCUUCUUAAGUAGGCAAGACAGGGGAAGAGG